GCAGUAUCUGUGGGAGGAAAGGAAUUGUCGACGUUUCAGGUCGAAACCCUGCAUCAGGACUGGGAAAGAGAGAACAAGUUCAUCCAGGAUUUCACUGCUGCGGUCAGUUAACUGUGACUCCAGCCCUUCCCAACAUGAACAUUCCAACAAGGACUCUGCAUCAAUAUUAGAAACCCUAAUUUUUUCUGCUCACCUGAGAUGCUGCCUGGCCUGCUGAGUUCCUCCAACAUCUUGUUGUUUCUUCAUCUCAGUUCCAGCAUCUGCAGUCCUUUGUUUCUCUGGGCAUGGUGGUGAAGUGGUUAGAAGGCCUGGAGCUCAAAUCUUAACUGGAGAAGUGAAAUCCAAUUAAUAAGAUAAAUCUAGAUGAAAAUAAAAAGCUGGUAUCAACAACCGUGACCAUACAACUUCCGGUUUGAGAUCAAAACCCAUCCAUUUCACUAAAGUCUAUCAACCUUACCCAGUCUGGUUUGUAAAUGACUUCAGGCCCACAAAAAUGAGAUUGGAUCGGUGUAGGGUAAUUAGGGA